UGCAGUCGAACGGUAACAGGAAGCAGCUUGCUGCUUUGCUGACGAGUGGCGGACGGGUGAGUAAUGUCUGGGAAACUGCCCGAUGGAGGGGGAUAACUACUGGAAACGGUAGCUAAUACCGCAUAAUGUCGCAAGACCAAAGAGGGGGACCUUCGGGCCUCUUGCCAUCGGAUGUGCCCAGAUGGGAUUAGCUUGUUGGUGAGGUAACGGCUCACCAAGGCGACGAUCCCUAGCUGGUCUGAGAGGAUGACCAGCCACACUGGAACUGAGACACGGUCCAGACUCCUACGGGAGGCAGCAGUGGGGAAUAUUGCACAAUGGGCGCAAGCCUGAUGCAGCCAUGCCGCGUGUAUGAAGAAGGCCUUCGGGUUGUAAAGUACUUUCAGCGGGGAGGAAGGUGUUGUGGUUAAUAACCUUAGCCAUUGACGUUACCCGCAGAAGAAGCACCGGCUAACUCCGUGCCAGCAGCCGCGGUAAUACGGAGGGUGCAAGCGUUAAUCGGAAUUACUGGGCGUAAAGCGCACGCAGGCGGUCUGUCAAGUCGGAUGUGAAAUCCCCGGGCUCAACCUGGGAACUGCAUUCGAAACUGGCAGGCUUGAGUCUCGUAGAGGGGGGUAGAAUUCCAGGUGUAGCGGUGAAAUGCGUAGAGAUCUGGAGGAAUACCGGUGGCGAAGGCGGCCCCCUGGACGAAGACUGACGCUCAGGUGCGAAAGCGUGGGGAGCAAACAGGAUUAGAUACCCUGGUAGUCCACGCCGUAAACGAUGUCUAUUUUGGAGGUUGUGCCCCUUGAGGCGUGGCUUCCCGGAGCUAACGCGUUAAAUAGACCGCCCGGGGGAGUACGGCCGCAAGGUUAAAACUCAAAUGAAAUUGACCGGGGGCCCGCACCAAGCGGUGGAACCA
rnacentral:rRNA from 1 species